GCCGAUGUGGCGGAAUGGCAGACGCGACCGACUCAAACUCGGUUGUCUUCGGACGUGUGGGUUCGACUCCCACCAUCGGCACCA
rnacentral:tRNA from 1 species